CACAUUCUAUUCUAUCUCACAAAAAAUGUUAUUUGAAAAAAGUUCAAGCUCAGAAUCUUCUGAUGAAAAUCCAUACAGAGAAAUUGAUUGAAUGGUUGGCGAUUUUUUUACUCAUCAUUUACCAAACACAUUCUUUGCAAGAGGUCAUAGACUUCGAAAUGUGAAUGAUGACAUUCUGAUUCCAGCAGAUAGAAACCGCGAAAAAGGGCGUUACUGUAAUACCUCGUAUUUUCGGAAUUUAUAAAUAUAUUUUAAUGUAUUUAUAAAGGAUUUUACGAAUUUAAUUACAUUUAAUGUGAUUUAAAUGUAUUUUAUUUUAAAUAAUUUAAUUAUUAAUUAUUUAAGAAACUGGAUUUUUAUUAAAUAAAUUAAAUGAAUUUAUUUAUUCGGGAAUUGUUGGGUCGUAUUUCAAAACUAUUUUAAUUAUAUUCCGAGCCCAACCCAAUUCCGUUGGUAAACCCAACUAUAGGCCUGCACGCAAUUAAUUCUAAUUAAAUCCAAUUGCAAGCUUAACACAAUUUCCUAAAACUUAAGCCCACUAGGGGUGGAAAACCUAUAAAUAUAACCCUCCCUUCUCUUGAUCCCCACACAAAAAUUCAGAAAAUUCCUCUCUCCCUUUUGCUCUCUUCGUCUCCCCCUCCUCCUUGCCGCAAAACACGAGCUCGCUGCUCGUUGUGAGCUGCUCACCUCGCCUCACCCGCACGCACGCAGUCGAGCAUUGCUUGUUGCUUCCUUGCCAUGUGCUCGUACGCAGCGCCUCGCCCUCGUCCCUCUUCGUGCAUGCUGUCGUGCCUCUCUCACACGACCCGCACACUUCCUUCAUCUCUCUACCUCUCGUGUCGCACAGCAGCACAACCCGCGUGUUGUUGUUGUGCGGUAUUGUUGUUGUUGUCGAGCGAGCCAGCGCCCAACGCCCAGCGAGGCCUCACCCCGCGACGCUGCCCUGCUCACUCGUGCACGCCCCUGCCCCGCGCUGCACCUGUUGCUGAUGUUCGUCCCUUGUGCCGCACACACACACAGUGCUCGUGUGUGUUGUGUGUUGGUGUUCCACACACUCCGAGGUGAUUUCUAGCUUUGAGUCGUGAUUCGCAAAGUGGCCCCCGUACUUUGGUAUUCAAGAUUUCGAAUAAACAGGUUGUUAGAGAUAACUUGCAGGAGAAGUUAUCAUGGGAUUGUGAUGAGAGUUUAUGUUUUCAUACUUCCGUAUUUUAUAAACUCUAUUUAAUCUUAUAGUCAUGACUAAACUAAUUAUUUGGCUAUUAGUUAAUGGAUUUUAACGGUUUUUGUUUUGGGCCGUAACGGUUCCACCUUUGUAGUCACACCAUUAACUAUUUAUUAUAUUUUGAAAGUUAGUUAUUUCCGCUGUGUAAUUCUGGUAAAUAGCCUUAGCCGUUAUCACGGUGGCGGUGAUAUCUUGGUAAUUCUUUUAUAUUAGUUGGAAAAUGGAAUUAUAAAUAUAAGGAAUUAUCAGGGUGUUACAGUUACCGCUUGUUUAAUGAUUACUUUGCGGUUAAUCCAAUAUAUUAAGACAAGCAGUUUCGUCGAAGGUUUCGAAUGAGAAGACCUUUGUUUUUCUGUAUCAUGAACUAAGUGGUUGAAAUGAUGUUUUCUUGCAACAUAGAAGAAAUGUUGCCAGAAAACUAGGGUUAUCAGGAUUGCAAAAAUGCACUGCAGCUAUCAGAAUGGUAGCAUAUGGUUUGGCUCCGAAUGCGGUUGAUUAAUAUCUACGAAUGGGUGAAACAACUUCAAGAAAAUAAUUAUUACAUUUCACUCAAGGGGUAAUCAAGCAUUUUGAAGAGGAUUACCUAAGAAGUUCUACAAAUGAAGACUUAAGAAGAAUCCUUUAUCAAAAUGAAAUACGCGGAUUUCCUGGUAUGAUCAGUAGUAUUGAUUGUAUGCACUUGGAAUGGAAGAACUGCCCUACUGCAUGGAGAGGUCAAUACCAAGGACGCAGCGGGAAAGUUACCCAAAUUCUUGAAGCUGUUACAUAUCAAGAUCUAUGGAUUUGACAUUAAUUUUUUGGUAUUCCACUAUUCCUGGUUCAUGACCUUAAUGUUCUGCACCGUUCUCCUGUUUUUGAUGAUGUUUUGCAAGGUAGGAUACCUCCUAUAAAUUUUUAGGUGAAUGUUCAUGAAUACAACAUGGGAAACUACCUCACAUAUGGUAUUUAUCCAAAUUGGGCUACAUUCAUUUAAGGAUUUUCUCGUCCCCGACUUGAAACGGAAAGGUUGUUUGCUGAUAAACAAGCGCAUGUUUGUAAGGAUGUUGAACAUGCGUUCGGAGUUGUGUAAGCAAGAUUCUCCAUUGUACUAAAACCAUCUCUUGCUUACGAUGAAGAUAUAUUAGGAUACAUAAUGAAGGCUUGUAUCAUCUUACACAACAUGAUAGUUAAGGAUGAAUGUAAUAUGUAUGUCUGAGUUGAUGUGUUACGAAGGUACUAUGAGGAAGACCUUUCGAGCUUAACUGCAACAGUGAAUAAUGGUGGACUGGACAACCCGUCAACAUUGAUGCAUACUUGGGGAGAAGAACAUCUUUGCGUAGCAGUCAAGCUCAUCGCUCUUUGAAAGAGGAUUUCAUUAAGCACAUGUGGCAAAAAUACGGAGGCAAUAAUCAUUAAAACCAUGUCUCGAAGAAGGUUGUCAUUUUAGUGGUUGCGUUUGAUUUAUCGUUUUUUUAUGAUGUGAUUAACGCACUUUACUUUGGCUUUAUGAUAUUUUAGUCCAUAGAAUAAUGUGUUUAGUUGUUGUAAUGUUCUAGCUAUCCGAAACUUGUCUUGUUUUAGUCCAUCUAUUUUGUAUUUUAUUCAA